CCCGAGUGGUAACUGGGAGAGGGCUCCCCCUAAUAAACUGUGUUGCUUGGCCUGAAGUCCAGACCUCCCUGGGGAACAGACAAUCCUAGGUCAGGACUGCAGAAUGGCUGCUACAAGUUGCAGGCCUCGCGAUGAUUGGAGCGGGGAGAGAGCCUGCGAGCGGGUGCUGAGGUCCUUCUCCUCUCGCGGUGCUCGCGUCCCGGCUAGGUCCCCUCCACCGCUGCUGUGGGCGCCUGCAUUCUGCGCUAGGUGGCGAAAUGCUAUGGGGCUCCCCUAUUCGGGGGAAUGCGGUAGUGAUGUAUAAGGUAUGAAAGAUGUGGCCUGCAGAGAGCCGGCACUAUCUCUGCCGCUGCUGCUGCUGCUGCUGCCGCUGCCGCCACUGCCGCCGCUGCUGCGGGCGGAGCUGCUGGGAGUGAGCAUCCCCUGUCCGGGAUACCCAGCUCCUCGGCAUCUCCCGCGCGCCCAGGCCCCACACGGACCUGCCAGCCCCAGGGAACAAAAGCAGAGCCCGCUCGCCCUCCCUGCAGUCAGAGGAUGAGUCGAGAGGGCUGAGCGGAGAGUGCGGUCCUCGGCGGCUGGAAGAGAAGGGAACUGAGGCUUGGAGAAGCAGAGGAGACUUACCCAGGAACCCGCUGGCCAGUAACUGAUGAGCCUUAGGCUUGAACCCGGGUCUGUGACAACUGAAAGGUAGGCUUUCCACAGUAACCCGCCCCACGCGCACUCAGAUGAGGGCACGGCUGCAGGGGCAGCUCUGCGCAGAGCCUGGAGCGGCACAGCUCUUGUUGUGUAGCAUUUCCUUACACCUGGACGUGUUUCAUCAGUGAGUCAGCUUUUAAAACAGAAUUGUUUCUGAAUACCCUGGGACAGCUCCUUUCUUCCCUGUGGAAAAGAGGAAGACGGUCACAGAAGGGGGACCGUGGGCCCAGUGACGUCCACAGGUGGAGCAGAAGGAAAAGUCAGAGGGAGGAAGCCCUGAGCUUCAUUUAAACCUCUCAGUCCUGAUUCUAAAGCAAAGAGACAAUAACAACAAUGAGAACAGCUAACCUGUCUGAGAACAUUCACUGAAGCCUGGACCAGGAGCCUCUCAUUUGAUCCUCUCAACAACCCUAUGAGGUACAGAUGAUUGUUCCCAUUUUCCAGAUGAGGAAAUCGAGGCUAAAAACCUCAAGAUUUUAAAAAGCUAUUUAAAGGCUUUAAAUACGUAGUUUUAAAAUAGGCGGUCUGGAGGCCCUGUUCUGGCUGCAGGCUAUCUCCGACCUCAUUGUCUGCCCUGCUUCCCUUCCUCUGGCCACGGGGACCUGUUUUCUGUUCCGAAAACACAGUACGCAGGCAUCCUUCUCCAGGAGCUGCACCUGCUCGUCUCUGGCCCAGGAAUGUUCUGCUUGAACACGUUUGCAUGGAUCGCUCCCUCUCCUCGUGCUGGUCUCCUCUCAAAUGUCCCCUCAGGAAACUUUCCCUGGACACCACCAGUCAUGCCCGGUCCCCUUAACGUGGCUCGGCUGUUUUCCUACCUCUCAUUCUAUUCUGUGUCUGUCUGUCUGUUCAUUGUUUGGCCUCCUCGUAGAACAUAAAUGUCACAAGCAAGGAUUUUGUCUGAUUUAUUAACUGAUGUACCCAAAGCUUAGAACACUGCCUGGCUCAUAAUGAGCUUUCACACAUUGGUUGAAUGAAUGUUUUGUUAAAUGCACAAUUCAGUAGUCACAGGUUGAUUUCGUUGUAAGAACUUUCACGUAACUGAAUUCACAAAGCACAGACUCGAGCUGGCAACAUUGAGUCAUGUGUCUUUUCCACCCCUCACACUUACUGAGCCCCGCCCCCCAGGCUUGGGGAGGCACAGACCGCGAGAUGCAGCUCCAGCCUUCCUAGAAGCAGAGAGCAGCGAAAGAGCAAAGCUGGUGUAGAGACAGCACGCUGUGGUGUGGAGGAGCACAAGGUGACAGGGGACUCCCAAGGAGGAAAAUGUGGCCUCUGUCCUCAAGGCCUCCUACUGAGUAAAUGAAAUCUAUCAUUUGUCCUUUAGGGUGAGCUUGUUUAUUCUGUGAUUAGGAAAACAAGAAGGAAAUGAUCAGCUGAUGUGACUUUAUUUUUCCACCAGAAAUAUCCCUUACACAGGCUGGAAGGGAAAGGAGAUGCCAGGAGUAGGGCGCGCCUCCACUCCGGGUGUCAAGGAGAAGGAAGCAGGGUCUUUUGCUGUGUUAUUGACACUCCAGAGCACCACUUAUCAAAGAUGACAACUUAGAGCUUAGGGUUCAUUUCCUCCUCUAAACCACUUGACUGGUUUUUGCCAGAGAAGAGCAAAUGUCAGCCUCUCCCAUGGUUGGCAGAGCAGGCGUAGUAAGAGCCAUCCUCCUCAGAGCUUUCAGACAGCGGGUCCAAACCUCUUGGUGUAGCUCACCAAGGCCUGGAGCCUCGGCCCUGCCCACCACUCUGUGUGUUCUGUCCCCUCUGCACACGUGCUGGGCCCAGCAGUGCCCUGAGUGCGCUGUGCCGUUUUCCCUCCCUGGUUGUCUGCCCAGGCCCCUCUUUCUGGAAUCCCCUUCCUCUCUUCUUCCUUUGACUGUCUUCCCCAGUUCAUCCCUGUCAUCCUUCAAGCGUGCAGCUCAGUUGAAAUCUUCUCCAGGAAGCUUUCCCUGACUCCUUCCUGUCUCGCCCCUUCUCCCACUCCCAGCCCCACUACUAGGCUCCCAUAGACCCUUAGAGUGCCUUGUACUUAGCCAUCUUGAUGCUAAAAGUUUUCUCUGUACUCAUGUCUCCUCCCUCUUUAGACAGGAAGCUCUUAGAGGACAAGAAUUUUGUUUACGUUUGUCUUUUUAAAAAAUCUCCGUUCUCCUAGAAUUUUCUCCCAGGACCAGGCAAUUAAUGCUUAUUGAAUUCUGCAGACUGAUUAAGGACCUGUAUAGGACCUUCAAUCUUCCAUGCUUGGCUACCGAGGAACAGCUCUCGUUGUGCAGCAUUUUGGUUUUGGGUAUAGAUAAAUCAGUGACUCAAAGAGCUUAAAGGAAAAACACGGUACCCACCAGCCAGGCUGGGUUUGGUGUGAACACUCCAUAUCAGAAGGGAAAGCAGGGGAAUGGGGCCCACAGCACCAUGCAGCCAGGAGGCAGGAGACCUGGACGCUGGUCUUGGCCCAGCCACUAUCUUGCUGCGUGCCAAGUCAGGGCCUUUCUCUGGGCUUCUUUUACCUCCUCUGAAAAAAGGAGCACACCACGUGUGGACAGUGGCCGGGAUCCCCUGCAGAUCUAAAAUCCUACAACGCUGUGUUCCUGCUCACGGAUCACACACUUUUUCAUGGGCUCAAAGUUUGCAUUACAGUGUGUUGCCAUCGUGAAAGGUACACUCCUUUACUGCAUCUCAUUUGGGCUAGGAAUCAAGCCUCUGACUUCAGCAGAGAAACUUGGAAGACCCCACCGGUCACGUUUCUCAGAAGAAAGUACAUUCAAAUGGGGGAAGAAAAGAGAUGGAGAGUUAUCCAUUCACUGCUUUUUCAAGGCUCAAAAGUGUAGUUUAUUCUUUGUACUGCAUUUUUCCACAUAUUUUCUCAUUUAAUCUUACUGGAAUCCCUUUAAGGUAGCCAGGAUGGGCAACUAGGUAGCCAUUAAUGCCAUUCACCAGAAGCUUCUAGCUCUCCAUUCUUCUGAGAACACAGUAGGAGCAUGAUUCCUGGCCUGUGGUGGUGAGGGUACCGUGCAACCAGUCUUGUCCAAGAAGCUCUGAGCAUUUAAGUGCAGGUACGAGGCCAUCUUGAGUUGUUUGUUCCCUCUGCCACAGGGGCCAGAAGUAUUCCAGUCAGUGGCUGUUGCAACAGCCUGGAUCCUGGAGUGAGGUCAGAGAAGAGCCCCCCAGAUGAACUAAGAGAGACACAUAGCAUGAGCAAGUGAUUUUAAUUGUUUUAAGUCACUGACAUUUUGGUGCUAUUUGUUACUGCAUCACAACUUAACAUAUCUUCACUGACACAGGCAUUAGCCCCAUUUUUCACAUGGAGAAAUUGAAUCUUGGUGCAGUAAAGUACACAGACUUUCUCAGGGUCGUAAAAACCUCGUAAGUGCCCAAGCCUGGGAUUUUGAACUCAAGUCUUCUGACUGCACAUUAGUGCUAUUUUCUCUAUACCACACUGCUUCCUUAAUUAGCAUUAGGUAUUAAACUUGAUUUCAUUGGAAGCCACCCUGUGGGUCCUGGUUUUCAUGAGUAAUCUUUGGAAGGUAAAAAGGGAGAGUGACAAGAUCACAGACUUUGGAGGUAAGCAGAUGUGAACUCGAGUCCCGGCUCUGCUAAUGAAUAGCUUGGUGUCCUUUGCGUGUUGCUAAAAUGUGGUCUCCUAGGUCUUCUGACUCACCCAAGUCUGCAGAGAGUGGAAAUUCUGCACAGUAGGGAAUACUUACUGCUAAUGGUAUAAUAUCAAGCAUCAGUGGCUGCAUGGGUAGAUAUAUUGGGGUGUGGUCUGCCUUCCCAACAUUCUCAAUCAGAGAGGCUCAGUGACUUGCCUGAGGUCAUGCAGUAAGGGGCAGAGCCUCAGUCGCAACCCAGGCCUCUCUGAUUCCUUCCAGUAUGUCCCACUGCCUCCCAGAUGAAACGAGCUCUGCUGAAACCCUCAGCCCGUGAGGAAGGAGGGGCGCAGCCUGAGCUCAAUGAUUGACUUCACUGUGGAGAGCCUUCCCAUUUCUGUUCCUGUUUGUCGUGGAGUGUCAAGUUGAUUUACUCUUUGAAUAUUCCUCUGCUUUCUCUUACUCCGGCUGAGCGUUGAGAACAGCAGGCAUUGCCUUGGCAAGGUUACAGGAUAAACUUGCUGCUUUUAGGACAUCUGCAUCCAGCAAAACCUUUAUUUUCUCUCCCCUGGGCAUAAUCUUGGAAAAACACAUCUGUUGUUCCGGGUGCGUACCUGGCUGGCCUUAUUUUUCCUCCCUUGGAUGGGGAAAGAUUCUGUCAAGAUAUGAGCAAGAGUUUUCACACCCUCUGAAGUCACAGACCCUUUGUAUAUUAAAAAUAUAAACCCCUCGGAAUCUUGAUUGAAUUGUAAGGUUUUAUUUAAAAGCUGAGAGCACCACCUGUGUCCCAGCAUCCUCCAGUUCUCGGGUGUUGGAGUCUCUGGAGAUGCUUUCAGGGUCUCUCCUGACUGAGUCACUGAAGUGUGGGCAGCGGUGGAGGUUUGAGAGCGCAGUAAGAUGCCUGGUGGAGGUUUGAGAGCGCGUGUCCGGAUGCCUGCCCCAGGACACGUCUCCCGCCCCUUUCCUCUUGCUAAGCCACAUUUACACCUGGCUGCCUCCAAACUCAUCCUCUGCAGGGAGCUUUCCAGGACCUGCGGAGGAGAAACAGAGACCAGGCUAAGUUAAAAACUCAGUUCUGCUUCCUUCCUUCAUUCAUUUUAGAACAAUUAUUGGGCACCUACUCUGUGCCAGGCUCUGUUGUAGCCGCUGAAGGAGCACCGGUAAUCCACGCCCUCACCUCACUGCAGGUUAAACAGUGGAGAUUCAAAAAGCAACAAGGCAAUUACAAUAUGGUGUGACUGGUUAAUUAACGAGUAACUCACCAUUCAUUUAACAACACUGAGGGCUGAUCAUAUGCCGAGCACUGGGUUAAGUGCUGGGAAUGCAGCAGUGAGUCAAGUGGACAAACUUCUCUGGCCUCCUGAAGCUUCCCUUCAGGUGACGCAGGCAGGUAAUACAGUAGAUAAGUGUGUGAUGCAGUGGUACGUGGUAAUGAUGAGCACCAUGAAGACAAACAUGGGACAAUAAGUGGUGAGAGUGUGAUGGAGGGCAUGGUUUCAGCUGCGUGUCUGAGGGUUCUCCGAGGAGGUGAUGUCCGAGGGAGCCCUGUGAUGACAGCAGGGCCACGAGACUGGGUGUGCUGUGUCCUGUGGGGGCAUCUAACCCAUGUCCGCUGUGACUUUGGUUGAACCACUUGAUUUCUCUGAGCUUUCAUCUCUUCCUGUGGAG
rnacentral:lncRNA from 1 species